UACGUAGGGCGCAAGCGUUUGUCCGGAAUUAUUGGGCGUAAAGAGCUCGUAGGCGGUUUGUCGCGUCUGUCGUGAAAGCUUGGGGCUUAACCCCAAGUCUGCGGUGGAUACAGGCAGACUAGAGGCAGGUAGGGGAGAACGGAAUUCCCGGUGUAGCGGUGAAAUGCGCAGAUAUCGGGAGGAACACCGGUGGCGAAGGCGGUUCUCUGGGCCUGUACUGACGCUGAGGAGCGAAAGCGUGGGGAGCGAACAGG
rnacentral:rRNA from 1 species